rnacentral:misc_RNA from 1 species
GAAAUGUUUAACAGCGUUAUGGUAUACCAGCUUUCUCUUGCCAUUUCUCUGUUUUGCUGUACCAUAUUCUGUGCAUCUUUUAAUUGCGAAAGAUUUUCAGAACAGAAAUGUUAUAAAGACUGCCAGUGGAACGAAGCAUUCAACAAGUGUAUUGACUGUGAAACUGGUUUUUAUGGAGAAAACUGUUCAAGUCCAUGCAGAUAUCCGAAUUAUGGAAAAUAUUGUCAACAAGAUUGCUCACACUGUAACCUAGACGAGUGCAAUUCAAAACUUGGUUGUAUGUCAUCCGAUAUUCCCACUAGUCAAGAUUAUAAUACAUCAAAGGAAAAAUCCAUUCAACUGAAAUACAUCAUCAUUGGAUUAAUAGCAUUUGGAUUUUUUGCUACUUUCAUUAUUAUUGCUUAUGUGUACAAAAUGAAAAGACGGUCUUUUGAAAAUGAAAGGAAUUGGUCCUCAUUUGUGCAGAGACUUCGUUAUUAUUAACUUUGCUUUUGCAAAACUAAAACAAUUUGCUAUUUUUAAAAUCAUUUCAUAUAAUAAAAGUUUCAAAAC